CAAUAUUUGACUUCCGAUUUUUGGCGCUAUUGGUUGUUGAAGGUUCAUAUUCUUACUUGAGGAGAAAAAGUAAAUGCCUUGAGGUCUUCAACUCUGAACAUAUUAAUAAACUAGCUGAGGAUGACUGAGACGAUGGCUCAAACGCCCUUUCCUCAGGCUAGUGGAUUCACUUUCAUGCUUUCUUUGUUGUGUUUAACUAUCUCUUUUAAUUUUCUAGAGCUCGCUGCGCGUUUAGUAAUUUCGUCUUAUAAUUAUGUGUCUGUAGUAGUCUUAAACCUUUUAGGUGGAAUUUCUGGGUUUCAGAAUGUGGAACUUUGCCAGAGGAUAUGGAACUUACUAGACAAAUGAAUGAGUUGGGGCUUCCGGUCUCAUUUCAAACAAAUAAGGAGGUACAUUACCCUAUUUUCUUAUUUCAAUUGAAGUAUUAAGUACUGCUUUUUCAGCUUUCACAUUCACUACUACAAGCAGAGGUAGUAUUAAUCUGACUUGUUGAAGUUGAGACUCAUUUGCAGAAGCAGAAAACAGUAUCUCAAGGAAACAGAAAAGGAAUGGGCCUGAAGAUGAUGUACAGGCUUGUGAUUCCUUACAGGCUUACACAACAGUGCCAUGCUCACUGAUGUAACAACAAAUUUAGUGAAUUCAGCUGUGUUAGAUGAUGUACUUUACCCAGGCAGCUGCUGCUAAUGGCCAUGAUAAGCUCUCGUUUUCAUUUUGUAAAUUCAGAAUAAAUGCUGCCUUCAUUUUGUUGACUGUCAUUGUUUGGUAUAUUUUGAAUUGGAAUUUCAUUAGAUAAGAGCAAGCUCUUACCUAUUGGAACUGAUGAUACUUGCAUGUUAUAAUUUUUUGUGGAGAAAAAGGAAGGCUUGCUCUUGGGUUUAGUUUCAAAAUUCUGCAUUGUCAAUUUGUCAUGAUGCUCUUACAUCAUUGUGUUCUUUAAUAUUUCAGUGUGCUUCAAUAUGGAUCCCCUUUAAUAUUUCUGUUUGUCAUGAAUAGAUUAGUCAGAGGCUCGGCAAAAAACACCGCCUUUCAUAGGUUUUGUGAGGGUUGGCAUUUAAGCUCAGCUUUGUGUAAUCAGAUAUGGGAAAUCGUUGAAUUCCAGUUGUCAAGUAUUCGUUUCUGUUUCGGUGUGCCUGUGAGUAUUUUUCUGUGUUCUCCAUUUUCAGUUCAGUUUUGAGGUAUUGUUUUCAUGUGUGUGUGACUAAGAGGAUGACAUUGCUGUGAUGUUUGUAUAUAAAGGCAUCUCAUUUCUGUUUUGCGCAUUUUCAAAUAGGUCCAUUUUCCUGUGGGAAUCUUGAAGUAUGGAGAUGUUGAUGCAAGUACACUAACCAACUUAAACGCGGUUUUCUUUUAAUUUGAGUAUAAAUAUUAUACUCAUUUUUGUUUCAAGAAAAUGAGUAUAAUAAUUAUUAUAAGUAUCUUUGUUUCAAGAAAGAACUCAUUUUUUGUUGUUGUUAUCAUCUCAGUGGGCAUUGAUGGCUUAUUUAGAAAUUUCGAGAUUCUCAAGAAAACUGGGUUGAACAAAUGGUACCUAUAUUUUCAGUUCUAUUCUUAUUUCUUACUGACCUGUGAAACAGAAAUUUAUAUAUUACUACCC